CCUACGGGUGGCAGCAGUAGGGAAUUUUCGUCAAUGGGCGCAAGCCUGAACGAGCGAUGCCGCGUGAGUGAAGAAGGCCUUCGGGUCGUAAAGCUCUGUUUCGGGGGAAAAAAGGCAGCAUCAGGAAAUGGGUGCUGACUGAUGGUGCCCCGCCAGAAAGUCACGGCUCACUCCGUGCCAGCAGCCGCGGUAAUACGUAGGUGGCGAGCGUUAUCCGGAAUGAUUGGGCGUGAAGGGUGCGCAGGCGGUCCUGCAAGUCUGGAGUGAAACGUAUGAGCUCAACUCAUGCAUGGCUUUGGAAACUGGAGGACUUGAGAGCAGGAGAGGGAGGUGGAAUGCGAGGUGUAGCGGUAAAAUGCGUAGAUAUAUGGAAGAACCCCAGUGGCGAAGGCGGCCGCCUGGCCUGUUGCUGACGCUGAGGCACGAAAGUGUGGGGAGCAAAUAGGAUUAGAUACCCCUGUAGUC
rnacentral:rRNA from 1 species